rnacentral:rRNA from 1 species
AACGAACGCUGGCGGCAGGCCUAACACAUGCAAGUCGAACGCUGUAGCAAUACAGAGUGGCAGACGGGUGAGUAACGCGUGGGAACGUACCCUUCGGUCUGGAAUAACCCAGGGAAACUUGGGCUAAUACCGGAUACGUGCGAGAGCAGAAAGAUUUAUCGCCGAAGGAUCGGCCCGCGUCCGAUUAGCUAGUUUGUGAGGUAAAAGCUCACCAAGGCGACGAUCGGUAGCUGGUCUGAGAGGAUGAUCAGCCACACUGGGACUGAGACACGGCCCAGACUCCUACGGGAGGCAGCAGUGGGGAAUAUUGGACAAUGGGCGCAAGCCUGAUCCAGCCAUGCCGCGUGAGUGAUGAAGGCCCUAGGGUUGUAAAGCUCUUUCGCCAGGGACGAUAAUGACGGUACCUGGAUAAGAAGCCCCGGCUAACUUCGUGCCAGCAGCCGCGGUAACAC